UUUCUGACAUGCUUCACAAAGAGCAUCUCAAGCAAACUUCACAUUUGGCAUUCCUCUGACUAAAUUAAGCUUGUUUAGCUGAGAAAUCCUCCUCAUUUCCCAAUCGCUUAUGCCACGUCCAUUGCUCUUUAUUCACAGAGAUAAGACAUUUUACAUUUUGAUUUUUAAAAUCAAGUCUUAUCUGGUAAAUGUUGUUAUUC
rnacentral:lncRNA from 1 species